rnacentral:pre_miRNA from 1 species
UCAUUCGGAUUCGCCAUCAUACGUCCAACCGUGCAUUUGAUAUGCAUAUAUAUAUGCAUCACGAGCAACGGUUGGGCUGUAUGAUGGCGAUACCGAUUGG